GAUGAACGCUGGCGGCGUGCCUAAUACAUGCAAGUCGAGCGGAUAGACGAAGCUCUUGCUCCUCUGACGCUAGCGGCGGGCGGGUAAGUAACACGUGGAUAACCUACCUAUAAGACUGAGAUAAGUUCGGGAAACCGGAGCUAAUAUCGGAUAAGAUGUUGAACCGCAUGGUUCAACAGUGAAAGAGCUUCUUGCUGUCCCUUAUACAUGGAACCUCGUCGCAUUAGCUAGUUGGUAAGGUAACGGCUUACCAAGGCGACGAUGCGUAGCUGACCUGAGAGGGUGAUCAGUCACACUGGAACUGAGACACGGUCCAGACUCCUACGGGAGGCAGCAGUGGGGAAUAUUGGGCAAUGGGCGAAAGCCUGAUCCAGCCACGCCGCGUGAGUGAAGAAGGUCUUCGGAUCGUAAAACACUGUUAGUUGGGAAGAACAGCAGUAUAUUAAACUCUGGCCGUUUUGACGUUACCAACACAAAAAGCACCGGCUAACUUCGUG
rnacentral:rRNA from 1 species